GCUUAAAUCAGAUGUUUCCAUUGUCCUUAUGAUGCAUUGUCCAUUUUUCUUUACUAAUUCUCCUCCUUUUUGCCAUCAUCAAAAUCACAUGAGAAGAAUUAGGAUAUAAACGAUCUUUGAUAGAUGUACCUUUUCAAUAUAAUUUUUAGGCUAGACUUGCUUGUUUAAUUUGAUGUAAUUCUAAUUAAAAUUUCUUACAAG
rnacentral:lncRNA from 1 species